rnacentral:misc_RNA from 1 species
UUUAGCCUUUCCUGAGUCUUAGAAAGGAGCCUAGAAGAGUAUUGGCAAGAGCGCCAAGAGGAUUGGAAGAUGAAGAACCCGGAACCGCACAUGCCGCUCCUCCUGCAACUAGGUCCCGCAUCGCCAUAUCUCUUUUAUCUGCUUCCAAUUUUCAGAAAGACGGUGGUGGUGGAGUCGACGCCUAUUUCUUAAGUUAUAGAAAUUGAAACUGAAAUUCAAGAAUUGGGUUCCAAUCGGAGAAGGAGAAGACGACGACUAUAGAGCAGAAGCGGGACCAGUGGGCUAUAUAUGGGAACGAGCGUAGAAGACGACCUCCAAUUCCUCCGUCCGUCUGCAGAGCUGUUGUUGC